rnacentral:rRNA from 1 species
CAUGAAGCCGGAAUCGCUAGUAAUCGCGGAUCAGAAUGCCGCGGUGAAUACGUUCCCGGGUCUUGUACACACCGCCCGUCACACCAUGGGAGGUCGGAAAUGCCCGAAGCCGGUGACCCAACCCGAAAGGGAGGGAGCCGUCGAAGGCAGGUCGGAUGACUGGGGUGAAGUCGUAACAAGGUAAC